AACGAACGCUGGCGGCAUGCCUAACACAUGCAAGUCGAACGAGAACUUCGGGUCUAGUGGCGCACGGGUGCGUAACGCGUGGGAACCUGCCCUUAGGUUCGCAAUACCUCCCCGAAAGGUAUGCUCAUACCGGAUAAUGUCUUCGGACCAAAGAUUUCUCGCCUUUGGAUGGGCCCUCGUUGGAUUCGCUAGUUGGUAGGGUAAUAGCCUACCAAGGCGUCGAUGCAUAGCUGGUCUGAGAGGAUGAUCAUCCACACUGGAACUGAGACACGGCCCAGACUCGUACGGGAGGGAGCAGUGGGGAAUAUUGGACAAUGGGGGAAAGCCUGAUCCAGCAAUGCCGGGUAAGUGAUGAAGGCCGUAGGGAUGUAAAGCUCUUUUACCCGGGAUGAUAAUGACAGUACCGGGAGAAUAAGCUCCGGCUAACUCCGUG
rnacentral:rRNA from 1 species